rnacentral:tRNA from 1 species
AAAUCAGUAAGUUACUGAUUUUACUUGCUUCAAAUUGGGACUCAUAAUCGCUUGGUCGCUGGUUCAAACCCAGCAGGGGCCACCA